rnacentral:rRNA from 1 species
AUUGAACGCUGGCGGCAUGCCUUACACAUGCAAGUCGAACGGUAGAGUAGCAAUACUCGAGAGUGGCGAACGGGUGAGUAAUAUAUCGGAACGUGCCCAGUCGUGGGGGAUAACGUAGAGAAAUUUACGCUAAUACCGCAUACGAUCUAAGGAUGAAAGCGGGGGAUUCGGCAAGAACCUCGCGCGAUUGGAGCGGCUGAUAUCAGAUUAGGUUGUUGGUGGAGGUAAAAAGCUCACCAAGCCGACGAUCUGUAGCUGGUCUGAGAGGACGACCAGCCACACUGGGACUGAGACACGGCCCAGACUCCUACGGGAGGCAGCAGUGGGGAAUUUUGGACAAU